GUUUUAAUAAUUUAAUAAAAAUAUUGAUUUUGUAAAUCAAAUUUGAGUAAAAUCUCUUAAAUCA
rnacentral:tRNA from 2 species